ensembl:lncRNA
CCCAUAGUGAAUUCCAAGCAAGUCACCUCUAUCUGGACAAAUGGUUUGUUUUUUGAAAACAGGGUCUUCAACUAAGUAGGCAGCCAACGCUGACACGAACUUCUCACCUGCCUGCCUCUGCCUCCCUAGGGGUAUGCCUCCACACCAGUGUUCACGCUUUUGGACACUGAGCCCAGGGUUUUGGCCAUGCUAGACAUGCAGUCAAUCAACUGAAUUAGCCCAGCACAUGGUUUUAAAUAGUCUUUCCAUUAUGACUUUCCACACUCACAUUAGAUGCUAACAGUCAAGAUGGUAAGAUUAUAGUGUUAGUGGUGAUGGUGGUGGUAGUGGUGGAGAUGGUGAUGAUGAUGGUAGAAUGUGAUGGUGGUAGUGGUGGAGAUGGUGAUGAUGGUAUAAAUGAAGAGCAGAACUCUGGCUGCAAUGCCAAUGGACUCACAGAAUUGGUUCCCAUGCUCUGAGAAGCAGAUACAAGACAAUCUUCAUAACCAACACAAGAGGGACCUGUAACACAAAGGAAAAUAGAGCUGGCUUCUAGAGAAAGCUCCCUUCUGAAUCCCAGGAGAGACACUGAUGGCAACACUGCCACCUAAGUUGCCUGUUCAGUGCCACAGUUCACCCUCAGCUGAUCUGAAAGUCAACUGUUACCCUUCUGUUACUCAAAUGACUCUAUAGAAACAUUAGGAUCCAGCCCCAUUUGAAGGAAGGUAUGGAAACUGAGGACACGCUCCUCCCUAUGCCUCCAAAUGACAAAGGAUAGAGAAGCCAGCCUGCAAGGAUGAGCACUCCAGUUGGAAAUGACUCAAAACUGUAUGUGGUAAAUGUGGACUUCCUCGAUAGGAGGCACGAGGACACUCCCAUCUAGAACUGUUCUCUUAUCUCUCAAAAAAGAGUUUUCCCAUGUGCUUGCUGCUGUUUGCAAGGCAUUUCAUUUCUCUUCAACAACCUUCUGUUCCCGAUAGCACCACCUCUAUUUCACAAGUAAUGAAGAGGACAAAGACAACCUGCAGUCAUCUUGGAUUCCAGAAACAGCAAAUGCCUCACAAUGCAGACUACCUUCCCACCCCAGUGAUAAGGACAAUCAUCUAUGAGGGUGCCCCGGAGGAGAAGUGACCAAUCCCCUCAAACAUGGCAAUUGUGUUGGUAACAACUUCUCCAGGCCACCUGGCAAACUGGAACUGGGAUGAUGAUCAGCUAGACCAGUGUCUUGUCCACAACCACUUGGUUACUCAGACCUCCUGUUCUAUCUUGAUUCUCCACCUUCUACAACCUGAGGCUCCUGUCAGCAACCUGAAGACUGGCUUUGGAGUCAUUGAACCCAUGUCCUUUCCCAUGUGGCCACAUGGAUUAAAUCUCCUCUUCCUGUUCUUCACUAAUAUAAGUCUUUUUAAUUGGCAUGUUUAAUUGUGUUGAAUGACAAAAAUUUUUUCCUGGAGAGAUGUAACACACACAUCUACUCACUGCAGAUAGGGAUCCUGUGACAGACCAAAGUAUGGAUACCACCAAAGUUCAUUGAGUUUUGCGGAAUUAACUCAUAACUGCUACAAUAUGUCCUAAGAAAAUUGGUAACAUCCCAGUGCCUACCAGUAUCAGAAGGACUGGGAAUUGCUGGUGUGUGUGUGAUACAUUGAUGGUUGCCACGCAAUGAGCAAUGAUCCACUGCUUUCAGGCUAAUGGAGAUGAAGAGCACUUGGUCCUCAUUAAUAUCUGUCUUGAAAAUACAUGUUCUCAUUCUUCUCAAGAGUGCUUAAGGAAGAUAUCUCAGCAAUGUGAGGAGAAGAUGUGUAUUGGGAAUGAAGGACAAUGAAUAACCUAAAGCCAAAUGGCUAUCUAACAAAUGACAGAGUAGACUGUGAGUUCUUGGAGACAAACUAUGAUUGGAAGAGCUUGGAUUUCAGCAUCUGCACAUGUAGCAGAAUGUGGGGUAAGUUCCAGCUCACUGAACUUUGCUCUCCACAUCUGUGAAAUGAGGUGGGGGAAACCUUAUCCUCAGGAGUGUCAUAAGGACUCAAGGGAACUGUGUGUAAACCACCUGAUGCUGGGCCUAAGGAGCUGGCUCGACAAGAAUGCUUCCUGUUCUUGCAGAGGACUCAAGUUCACCCAUAUCAGGCAACUCACAACUGCCAACAACUACAGCUCCAGGGAAUCUGACACCUUCUCUGGCUUCCUCAGGUACCUGCAUCUAUAUCCACACACAGACACAUAUUUAGAAAUAAAGCUAAUCUUCUAAAAAAAAAAAGUCAACAAGCUGAAUGGUGGUGGUGCACUCCUUUAAUCCUAAGGAGACAGAGGCAGGCAAAUCUCUGAGUUUGAGGCCAGCCUGGUCUACAGAGUGAAUUCCAGGACAGCCAGGGCUACACAGAGAAACCCUAUCUCAAAAAAAAAAAAAAAAAUACUGAGAAAGAGAGAGAGAAGGUCAACAAAAGAUACCUGAUGUAUACUUAUUUGGUGGCAAAUGGCCUUUCAUCUUCUCCCUCUAUCCCUUGUUAAGAAUUAUGUACUAGCACACAUAGAAGAUGUGACUGCAUAAUAAAGGAGAUCAAUAUCAGAAGUUACU